AUUUUUCUAGUAUAAUUAGU
rnacentral:tRNA from 1 species